AGUGAAAUUGCUGGAUCAUAUAGUAACUCUGUUUAACUUUUUGAGGAAUUACCAAACUCUUUUCCAAAGCAGCUAUACCAUUUUACAUUCCCGCCAGCAGU
rnacentral:pre_miRNA from 1 species